AAGAAAAUCCGUUGGCUUUAUUGACCGUGAGGGUUCAAGUCCCUCUACCCCC
rnacentral:tRNA from 7 species